rnacentral:rRNA from 1 species
UGGCCAAGCCGGGGCCUACACAUGCAAGUCGAACGGUAGCACAGAGAGCUUGCUCUCGGGUGACGAGUGGCGGACGGGUGAGUAAUGUCUGGGAAACUGCCUGAUGGAGGGGGAUAACUACUGGAAACGGUAGCUAAUACCGCAUAACGUCGCAAGACCAAAGAGGGGGACCUUCGGGCCUCUUGCCAUCAGAUGUGCCCAGAUGGGAUUAGCUAGUAGGUGGGGUAACGGCUCACCUAGGCGACGAUCCCUAGCUGGUCUGAGAGGAUGACCAGCCACACUGGAACUGAGACACGGUCCAGACUCCUACGGGAGGCAGCAGUGGGGAAUAUUGCACAAUGGGCGCAAGCCUGAUGCAGCCAUGCCGCGUGUAUGAAGAAGGCCUUCGGGUUGUAAAGUACUUUCAGCGGGGAGGAAGGUGUUGCGGUUAAUAACCGCAGCAAUUGACGUUACCCGCAGAAGAAGCACCGGCUAACUCCGUGCCAGCAGCCGCGGUAAUACGGAGGGUGCAAGCGUUAAUCGGAAUUACUGGGCGUAAAGCGCACGCAGGCGGUCUGUCAAGUCGGAUGUGAAAUCCCCGGGCUCAACCUGGGAACUGCAUUCGAAACUGGCAGGCUAGAGUCUUGUAGAGGGGGGUAGAAUUCCAGGUGUAGCGGUGAAAUGCGUAGAGAUCUGGAGGAAUACCGGUGGCGAAGGCGGCCCCCUGGACAAAGACUGACGCUCAGGUGCGAAAGCGUGGGGAGCAAACAGGAUUAGAUACCCUGGUAGUCCACGCCGUAAACGAUGUCGACUUGGAGGUUGUGCCCUUGAGGCGUGGCUUCCGGAGCUAACGCGUUAAGUCGACCGCCUGGGGAGUACGGCCGCAAGGUUAAAACUCAAAUGAAUUGACGGGGGCCCGCACAAGCGGUGGAGCAUGUGGUUUAAUUCGAUGCAACGCGAAGAACCUUACCUACUCUUGACAUCCAGAGAACUUUCCAGAGAUGGAUUGGUGCCUUCGGGAACUCUGAGACAGGUGCUGCAUGGCUGUCGUCAGCUCGUGUUGUGAAAUGUUGGGUUAAGUCCCGCAACGAGCGCAACCCUUAUCCUUUGUUGCCAGCGGUCCGGCCGGGAACUCAAAGGAGACUGCCAGUGAUAAACUGGAGGAAGGUGGGGAUGACGUCAAGUCAUCAUGGCCCUUACGAGUAGGGCUACACACGUGCUACAAUGGCGCAUACAAAGAGAAGCGAACUCGCGAGAGCAAGCGGACCUCAUAAAGUGCGUCGUAGUCCGGAUUGGAGUCUGCAACUCGACUCCAUGAAGUCGGAAUCGCUAGUAAUCGUAGAUCAGAAUGCUACGGUGAAUACGUUCCCGGGCCUUGUACACACCGCCCGUCACACCAUGGGAGUGGGUUGCAAAAGAAGUAGGUAGCUUAACCUUCGGGAGGGCGCUUACCAACUUUGGAUCAAAGGGA